rnacentral:misc_RNA from 1 species
UAAUAAGUGUUUUAUGGCACUUUUUAAAUCCAUAUCCACCUUGUGUGCAAUGUCGGUCGAUCUUCUUUUUUAGAGGAUCGACCAAACAUCAACCUUAUUCUAUUUAACUCUUUGUCUGAAAACUAUUAUGAAUAAACUAAUUCAAAAUA